CCUACGGGAGGCAGCAGUGAGGAAUAUUGGUCAAUGGACGAGAGUCUGAACCAGCCAAGUCGCGUGAGGGAUGACUGCCCUAUGGGUUGUAAACUUCUUUUAUAUGGGAAUAAAAUGUUCCACGUGUGGGAUUUUGUCUGUACCAUAUGAAUAAGGAUCGGCUAACUCCGUGCCAGCAGCCGCGGUAAUACGGAGGAUCCGAGCGUUAUCCGGAUUUAUUGGGUUUAAAGGGAGCGUAGGUGGAUGGUUAAGUCAGUUGUGAAAGUUUGCGGCUGAACCGUAGAAUUGCAGUUGAAACUGGCAGUCUUGAGUACAGUAGAGGUGGGCGGAAUUCGUGGUGUAGCGGUGAAAUGCUUAGAUAUCACGAAGAACUCCGAUUGCGAAGGCAGUUCACUGGACUGCAACUGACGCUGAGGCUCGAAAGUGUGGGUAUCAAACAGGAUUAGAUACCCUUGUAGUC
rnacentral:rRNA from 1 species